UACGGAGGGGGCUAGCGUUGUUCGGAAUUACUGGGCGUAAAGCGCACGUAGGCGGCUUCGCAAGUCAGAGGUGAAAGCCCGGGGCUCAACCCCGGAACUGCCUUUGAGACUGCGUGGCUCGAAUCCGGGAGAGGCGGGUGGAAUUCCCAGUGUAGAGGUGAAAUUCGUAGAUAUUCGGAAGAACACCAGUGGCGAAGGCGGCCCGCUGGACCGGCACUGACGCUGAGGUGCGAAAGCGUGGGGAGCAAACAGG
rnacentral:rRNA from 1 species